AUAUCAAAUGAAAAUACGCUUAAACCUUCAGUCAGCUGCUCAAAGCUCAACCAAGAAACCCAGUUUUCCGACGACCAACCUCGCCGCCUGAUGGAGGCCCAAACACCCAGCCUCACACUCCUCGGCGACUCCGAGCGUCGAAAGCCGCAAGCGCCGAAGCGGUUCAUCCGGAGCCAAAUCCCGGACUCCAUACUCCACGACCCAGCCCUCAACGCCGCCAUAAGCCUCCUCCCUUCCAACUACCACUUCGAGGUCCACAAAUGCGUCUGGCGCGUCCGUUCCACGCACGCCACGCGCGUCGCCCUCCAGCUCCCGGAGGGCCUCCUCAUGUACUCCCUCGUCCUCUCCGACAUCCUCUCCACCUUCGGCGGCGCCUCCCAGUGCUUCGUCCUCGGCGACGCGACUUACGGCGCGUGCUGCGUCGACGACCUCGCCGCCAAAGCCCUCAACGCCGACCUCCUCAUCCACUUCGGCCACAGCUGCCUCGUCCCCCUCCACGUCACCUCCAUCCCCUGCCUCUACGUCUUCGUCGAAAUCUCGAUCGACGUCGGCCGCUUGAUCCAGACCGUCCAUCUCAACCUCCAGAACCCCAUCCCCCAAACCCUAAUCCUCGCCGGAACAAUCCAGUUCGCCUCGGCGAUCCGCGCCGCCAAACCGGAGCUGGAGGCCCGGGGAUUCAAGGUGUUAGUCCCACAGUCGAAGCCGCUGUCCGCCGGCGAGGUUUUGGGCUGCACCGCCCCGAAAAUGUCGCGAAACCACGGUGGCGAUGACCGCGACUCUGUGCUGGUGUUCGUGGCCGACGGUCGGUUUCAUCUAGAAGCUUUCAUGAUAGCAAAUCCGGGAGUGAAGGCGUUUCGAUACGAUCCUUACAUGGGGAAGCUGUUUCUGGAGGAAUAUGAUCACAAGGGGAUGAGGGAGUCGAGGAAGAAUGCGGUGUUGAGAGCCAAGGAGGCUUCGAAUUGGGGCAUUGUGCUCGGAACGUUGGGAAGGCAAGGGAAUCCGAGGAUUCUACAGAGAUUGGAGAAGAAAAUGAGGGACAAAGGGUUUCAUUAUACUGUGGUGUUGAUGUCGGAGAUUAGUCCGGCGAGGAUUGCUUUGUUUGAGGACUCCGUGGAUGCUUGGAUACAGAUUGCGUGUCCUCGUUUGUCGAUUGAUUGGGGGGACGCGUUUACGAAGCCGCUUUUGAAUCCUUUCGAGACUGACAUUGCGCUCGGGUUGGUUCCUGGUUGGUGGGAGAGGGAUAAGAAGAGUGAUACGGGUUCAUGUGCUUGCGGUAAUGGCAAUGGGAGUGGUGAAGAACUUGUGGGGGACUAUCCCAUGGAUUACUAUGCUGCCGAUGGAGGGGAGUGGAACUCCUCUUAUGUUAACAAGCCGGCGCGCCCUGUUCGCAGGGAUUCUGCUUUGGGGAGUGCUAACAUUGAAUAGGUUAGCUUUGCUUUCUGGACUUUGAUGUACAAGAUAUGAGACUGCUGAAGACAUAGGUGCUUAUUUCAUGCAUUACUACGCUCUGGAUUGAGAGAAAUAGGACUUUUGUGUGCCGAAAAACCAACAUCUGUCGGCGUGUGUAUUCAAAUACUGCCGCCAUGAAAUAGAGCAGUCUGUGCUGAUUCUUCCAGGCUUAUCCGGUCAGGGACUGAGUUCCUCAGACUCGUUACGGCAAAUCAAGAUGGACAGAAACAAUUUACAUACGGAAGAGUAAAGUUAGCCUGAUUUGAACCGGUUUCCAGAUAAUUGGCAACUUGAAGUCUUGAACCAUAAGUUCUAGGACUGUUUUCUACUUUUCGGUUAUUACAUUGCAAGUGGUUUAGAGAGACGUGAGGUUCCGAGAGCCCCAAUAUUGUGAGAAUGUGUUUGCAUCCAUUUUCUACAAGCAAUGCCACAUAUGACACCAAAAAUUUUGCUCUCUGUUUGGUGUAAUUAUGUGUUGCAGGGGCAUGUAUCCUAGUUGAAUCUAUGUAACAUCUCAUGUCACAUGUAUUUUGUAGCAAAUCAUUUCUCUUUCGAAUUGCUGCAACUUGUAAAUUUCGUAGCACAUUAGCUCCAGAUGGGGAGCGUGAGACUGAUGUAAUACUGCUUGAUAGUCUUCCUCCCUACUUUUUAUUUUUUUUCUUUCUGUUCAGUAGCAG